UAAUGAGAAUGAAAAAGGAACUGCGCUAACAGUUCCCUUUUGACAGCACCGUUUAAGACGGUGGCUCAGUUAAAUCAGAUACAAAA
rnacentral:sRNA from 1 species